rnacentral:ncRNA from 1 species
UAGUCCGACGCCAAGAGGCCCAACGCACAGGCGGGACACGAGAAGACCAUCACCGGUAUGCUCCCGUCCCUCUCCGGUGCAUCGAACAUCUACGGGGCGG